AUUGAACGCUGGCGGCAGGCCUAACACAUGCAAGUCGAGCGGGGUUUUCGGACCUAGCGGCGGACGGGUGAGUAAUGCGUAGGAAGCUGCCCGAUAGAGGGGGAUACCAGUUGGAAACGACUGUUAAUACCGCAUAAUGUCUACGGACCAAGGUGUGGGACCUUCGGGCCACAUGCUAUCGGAUGCGCCUACGUGGGAUUAGCUAGUUGGUGAGGUAAUGGCUCACCAAGGCGACGAUCUCUAGCUGGUUUGAGAGGAUGAUCAGCCACACUGGAACUGAGACACGGUCCAGACUCCUACGGGAGGCAGCAGUGGGGAAUAUUGGACAAUGGGCGCAAGCCUGAUCCAGCCAUGCCGCGUGUGUGAAGAAGGCCUUCGGGUUGUAAAGCACUUUCAGCGAGGAGGUAGGGUUGUGUGUUAAUAGUACACAGCUUUGACGUUACUCGCAGAAGAAGCACCGGCUAACUCUGUGCCAGCCGCCGCAGUAAUAC
rnacentral:rRNA from 1 species